rnacentral:rRNA from 1 species
AUUGAACGCUGGCGGCAUGCCUUACACAUGCAAAUCGAACGGUAACGGGCCUUCGGGUGCCGACGAGUGGCGAACGGGUGAGUAAUACAUCGGAACGUGCCCGAUCGUGGGGGAUAACGAGGCGAAAGCUUUGCUAAUACCGCAUACGAUCUACGGAUGAAAGCAGGGGACCGCAAGGCCUUGCGCGGACGGAGCGGCCGACGGCAGAUUAGGUAGUUGGUGGGAUAAAAGCUUACCAAGCCGACGAUCUGUAGCUGGUCUGAGAGGAUGAUCAGCCACACUGGGACUGAGGCACGGCCCAGACUCCUACGGGAGGCAGCAGUGGGGAAUUUUGGACAAUGGGCGCAAGCCUGAUCCAGCCAUGCCGCGUGCAGGAUGAAGGCCUUCGGGUUGUAAACUGAUUUUGUACGGAACGAAAAGCCUUCUUUUAAUACAGGAGGGUCAUGACGGUACCGUAAGAAUAAGCACCGGCUAACUACGUG